GAGAAGAAGGUUGGCUUCUGGACAUUUCCGAUCUACACUCUCUCUCUCUCUGUCUACAGCACUAUCAGGAUCUGAAGUUUGCUAUGAGGUUUCUUAUACUGCUCAUUCUUCUGGAGAUCAAACAAUUCCAUAAGCCAUGACCGACGAUGGCGAGCCGCAAUCCUCGACGUCGUCCGCCUCUUCUUCACCAAUUUACAUCCACCCAAGACGUGAGCCCUUCGAGCACGGCCUUCCCCCCUUUCCCAAGCUCAUCACGGCACCGAAACACUGGGCCCCAUUUAGGACAAGCUCUCCUACCUCGCUUCCAACUCUAACCGUUAGAUCCAAUCGCAUCACAUUUUUGAUUUCCUCCAGAUAUCACCUCAGCUUCAUAGACCAAUGUGAAAAUGGUUGGGAAGCCAAAGACAUGUUAGAGGGCGUAUGAAGAUAUAUGAUCUGUUUAAAAAGGACAAUGAAGACUAAGGUUAGAAAGGUACUAAAAUUUGAGGUUUUAAAGCUUGUAAAUCAAUGUGAAAAUGGUUUGGAAGCUAGAGACAUGAUACAGGGUGUAUGAAGAUAUAUGAUCUGUUUAAAAAGGGAUAUGAAGACAUAGCAUAGAAAGGAUUUAUGUGAAGGUUGAAGAGUGGGAAAUUCAAAUUAGCAUUGAAGGAUGUAGAGUUCCAAAGCAACUCAACCAUGGAAGAACAAUAAUUGUGUUGCACCGAAAUAUGAAACGACAAAAGUAUAAAGGCAUAAGAUUUUUGAAUUGCUGUUCGCAAUAUAUAGAAGGAUAGUUUAGGUUUAUUGUUUAAUUAAUUAAUAAUUAAUUUUAAUCUCAAUUCUCUUUUUCCGAUGUAAUUAUUAUUGUUCUGAAAAGAGCCUUUAUUAGGAACAACUUUUAACCUAUAUGGGAAACCUAA